rnacentral:tRNA from 2 species
GUCUAUCGGUUAGGACGCCAGGUUUUCAACCUGGAAAGAGGGGUUCGAUUCCCCUA